GAAGAACUGCUUAUUUUCUUUUCCACAUGCAGAAAAACCUAAUGUACCUCUUAAAAUGAAAAACAACAACAACAACAUAAAACACAGAUGUACUCACAUCCCAACAAACUGAAAAUGCUGACCAGUCCCAGCACAGCCAACUUGAAUUUGCUCCUCUAUCAAAGUGCCCAGCACCUCAUUUCUUCCUCUUUAGAAUUUAUAGGGAAAAAUUAUGCCGAAGAUAAGGGAGCAAGUUGAUGUUGUCCAUCUGGGUUUGUGCCCAAUAUCUCCAGACCUGGCGUUAUUAGCUGAGUUUACAAUGUGUACGCUUGUUUUCUGGCAGCCUUUAACCUCUCAUUGGUCCGUAUGUCUCACUUUUUAAAAGAAUGUGGCCUUUUGACUUCUAAUGUGCAAGAAUAAACUGAAAUUAGACAGAAAUGGGACAAUCCCCUUUGUAAGAACCCCCAAUAUUUCUGUACUUGAAAAAUAAAUUGGAUGGCCUUUGACUUGCCUCUCUUGAAGCAGCCGAUGUUUAUACAAGGUAAGUUCUGUACCAGCUGUCAUUCUUUGAUACACCCCUUCAUAAACCUGGGGCCAAGAGGAAAAAAAAAGUACGGGAAUAAUAAGAAAAAGUAGAGGGAUAAGGCAGCUUGGGACUGGAUAGCCUGCUAGCAAAAAUGACAUUGGCUUUCGAGUUUGAAGAGGUUUGUUCUUGAGAAAAUGUAUUCUAAUCAGCUCUCUAAUACUCAGGUACCCAGUAAGUUAUUGAUUCUUUCCAGUUGGGAACAUAAUGUAAUAAUAUGCUCGUCCAUUAAGCCAGAGCUUCAUCUUUUGCACAAUUCAUAUUUUAAACUUUAAAGAGGCUCACAACUGAGCUUUCACAAACAGUAGCUGUUUACUUUCUUUCCACUAAAAUAAUCAUUGCAAAUACCCCUCUGAGAGUGUAUAUUUUCAGAUGCCAGGUAAUCAAAGCUUAGUUGUACUCAGAGGCUUUUUUAGAAUCAAAUGGAAAAUAAUUGCGUUAAAGUGCCCACUUGUGAGGAUUUCUGCUCAUCAGUAUAAUUGCCAGCAUCCACUGUCUUUCUA
rnacentral:lncRNA from 1 species